rnacentral:tRNA from 1 species
GCAGUCGUGGCCGAGUGGUUAAGGCGUCUGACUCGAAAUUAGAUUCCUUCUGGGAGCGUAGGUUCGAAUCCAACCGGCUGCG